UGUCGUUGCAACUGUACGCGUCCAGUUUGUAUUUGUUUAGAUAAAUCGCACAAGUAACAACACAAUGGAUCCCGUUUUGGAAAGCUUGCGGGCGGGUGAAUUCGAAAUCCGUUCUAGAUUUAAUUUUUGGAAAAAUUACAGCACAAAUAACUAUGAGCGAAAUGUCAAACAACUUCCGCUGGGAAAUCGGGUGAAAAAAUUGGUUGCCGAAAUUGAAAAUGGAUCGGAUAAUAAUAUUGAGUUGACCAUGAGCAAUAACGACCAUCGUCAUAGACUGGUCAAUUGUACUGAUAUGUCGGACGUGGUCACACAAAUAUUAGAGUGUCGAAUUGGUUUGAUUACCGAUUAUGAGUUUAAGUCGACAAGUUCAUUAUCUGACGUACCCCUACAAAUCAUGAAUUGAAAAAAUGUCUUCGGAAUAAUGUUUUGUACUAAUAGUAAUCAUAUUACAAUGUUAUAAAUUCUUUAAGUAUAUUAUUUAAAUACAUCCAUGCUUUUUUUCCCAUCAUGUCUUCUCACCCGCGUCACGGACGCCGCCGGGCCAAAUACUAUUGGGUGGUCUCAGACCCCUGCAGGUUUUUCCGUCUUCUUCGCUCUCCGAUAGGCCUCACACUUCCCGCUGCCGAGAUAGUGAUGUUGUAAUAGGCCUUUGGUGGGCCCUCCUCGGCAGGCCUUUGUUCCGAUCGGCUCGGGGCCUUCGCCGAUCGGCUCCGCUUGCCUUUCCGGUGCCGUGGACACCUCACACGGCCUGAUCGGACGACUUUUGGAUUUUGGCAUUCUGGGACCCUGGUAUCUGAAAACAGUUUUUUCGAAUUUCAAACCCCCCUCCGUGGGCAGGCUUUUGGUCCGAAUCGAACGCGGUCUUUGCCACUGAUCCCGGCUCGGUCUCCCGUUUGCGUAGACACCUCACACGUCCAAUUUGUUGCGGUGCGCCCCCUAGCGGGGUUUUUGAGCGUAACUGCCACUUAACGCACUCCGUAUACGGGCCGCACACGGAGUGGUGCGAAAGCACAAAUGCUGUAAACCACCCACUUGGAGAAUUUAUAAUGUUUGUAACAUUGUUUUGUUUAAUUAUUAUUAUUCAUGUUUUCUAAUUUGUAAUAAUA